ACGGAAGGCAGCAGUGGGGGAUAUUGCACAAUGGGGGAAACCCUGAUGCAGCGACGCCGCGUGAGUGAAGAAGUAUUUCGGUAUGUAAAGCUCUAUCAGCAGGAAAGAUAAUGACGGUACCUGACUAAGAAGCACCGGCUAAAUACGUGCCAGCAGCCGCGGUAAUACGUAUGGUGCAAGCGUUAUCCGGAUUUAUUGGGUUUAAAGGGAGCGCAGGCGGAGAUGCAAGCCAGCCGUAAAAUCGUUGAGCUCAACUCAAUCUCGCGGUUGGAACUGCAUCCCUUGAGUGCACUAGAGGGUGGUGGAAUUCGUGGUGUAGCGGUGAAAUGCAUAGAUAUCACGAAGAACUCCGAUUGCGAAGGCAGCCACCUGGCGUGUUACUGACGCUCAUGCUCGAAGGCGCGGGUAUCAAACAGGAUUAGAUACCCUGGUA
rnacentral:rRNA from 1 species